CCCACACAAGCAUCACAAAAGCAUUAAUCACCCUUUUACUCCAAGUGGAUCAAGACAAAAGAAGUGGAAUGUGCUCGGGGCGGUUUGUCCGCACGACAGCAGAGAGGCUGAGUUAAACUCUACCAGACUCCCACAGGACACUCCUACCGACAAUAAUUUACGGCUCUGAUACACGGUUAAAUCCUACAUUUACAACGGAAGCACAUCACAUUGAUAAAACUAUGCUGAGUGUUUGGACCCUCCUUGCAACUGCUAUUUGUGCAGUGUCGGUCUCUGCAAUAUCUCAGAAGUUUGUAAUCCAUGGCCAUCAGUUGAGUCUGAAAGUUCCUGAGAGGACAAAGAAGUUGGAGUUUGCUAGUGCUGAUGAGAAUGAACAAUAUACUGUCUGGGAACACAAAACCAUUUUUCUUUCCUGCCAAGUAAAGCCAGUAAAGGUG